CCACCCGUGUUUACUGUACCUUAGUUGCUUCGGCGGGCCCGCCAUUCAUGGCCGCCGGGGGCUCUCAGCCCCGGGCCCGCGCCCGCCGGAGACACCACGAACUCUGUCUGAUCUAGUGAAGUCUGAGUUGAUUGUAUCGCAAUCAGUUAAAACUUUCAACAAUGGAUCUCUUGGUUCCGGCAUCGAUGAAGAACGCAGCGAAAUGCGAUAACUAGUGUGAAUUGCAGAAUUCCGUGAAUCAUCGAGUCUUUGAACGCACAUUGCGCCCCCUGGUAUUCCGGGGGGCAUGCCUGUCCGAGCGUCAUUGCUGCCCAUCAAGCACGGCUUGUGUGUUGGGUCGUCGUCCCCUCUCCGGGGGGGACGGGCCCCAAAGGCAGCGGCGGCACCGCGUCCGAUCCUCGAGCGUAUGGGGCUUUGUCACCCGCUCUGUAGGCCCGGCCGGCGCUUGCCGAACGCAAAUCAAUCUUUUCCAGGUUGACCUCGGAUCAGGUAGGGAUACCCGCUGAACUUAAGCAUAUCAAUAAGG
rnacentral:rRNA from 1 species